GACGAACGCUGGCGGCGUGCUUAACACAUGCAAGUCGAACGGAAAGGCCCUGCUUGCAGGGUACUCGAGUGGCGAACGGGUGAGUAACACGUGGGUGAUCUGCCCUGCACUUCGGGAUAAGCCUGGGAAACUGGGUCUAAUACCGGAUAGGAGCCAUUUUUAGUGUGAUGGUUGGAAAGUUUUUUCGGUGUAGGAUGAGCUCGCGGCCUAUCAGCUUGUUGGUGGGGUAAUGGCCUACCAAGGCGGCGACGGGUAGCCGGCCUGAGAGGGUGGACGGCCACAUUGGGACUGAGGUACGGCCCAGACUCCGACGGGAGGCAGCAGUGGGGAAGAUUGCACAAUGGGCGCAAGCCUGAUGCAGCGACGCCGCGGGUGGGAUGACGGCCUUCGGGUUGUAAACACCUUUCGCUAGGGACGAAGCUUUUUGUGACGGUACCUAGAUAAGAAGCACCGGCUAACUACGUG
rnacentral:rRNA from 1 species